rnacentral:lncRNA from 1 species
AUGUACAUGUCUUGGGUCAUAUAAGGUCAUAUGGGUCCCUAUCAAAGACCAUAUUAACAGCAUCACUUGACUUGGGGCCUGUAGCCGAACCUGCUCCACCUGCUGGACAAUAUUUCUUCAUGUGUCCAGGCUCUCCACACUUCCAGCAAACAACAUUCCUCUUCAUGGGAUUCCUCUUUUCAUUUCGUUUCCCGUAGCACAUAUACACGCCUUCAGAAGAAGUAUCCCUCCCAUCUCCUUUGAGUCUUCUUUC